rnacentral:rRNA from 1 species
UACGUAGGGUGCAAGCGUUGUCCGGAAUUAUUGGGCGUAAAGAGCUCGUAGGCGGUCUGUCACGUCGGCUGUGAAAACCUGGGGCUCAACUCCGGGCCUGCAGCCGAUACGGGCAGACUAGAGUUCGGCAGGGGGAGACUGGAAUUCCUGGUGUAGCGGUGAAAAUGCGCAGAUAUCUGGAGGAACACCGGUGGCGAAGGCGGCGAUCCUGGACCGGCAUUGACGCUGAGGCGCGAAAGCCAGGGGAGCAAAGCGGG